rnacentral:rRNA from 1 species
ACUCCUACGGGAGGCAGCAGUGGGGAAUAUUGCACAAUGGGCGCAAGCCUGAUGCAGCAACGCCGCGUGAGGGACGACGGCCUUCGGGUUGUAAACCUCUUUUAGUAGGGAAGAAGCGAAAGUGACGGUACCUGCAGAAAAAGCACCGGCUAACUACGUGCCAGCAGCCGCGGUAAUACGUAGGGUGCAAGCGUUAUCCGGAAUUAUUGGGCGUAAAGAGCUCGUAGGCGGUUUGUCGCGUCUGCUGUGAAAACUGGAGGCUCAACCUCCAGCCUGCAGUGGGUACGGGCAGACUAGAGUGCGGUAGGGGAGAUUGGAAUUCCUGGUGUAGCGGUGGAAUGCGCAGAUAUCAGGAGGAACACCGAUGGCGAAGGCAGAUCUCUGGGCCGUAACUGACGCUGAGGAGCGAAAGCAUGGGGAGCGAACAGGAUUAGAUACCCUGGUAGUCCAUGCCGUAAACGUUGGGAACUAGAUGUAGGGACCAUUCCACGGUUUCUGUGUCGCAGCUAACGCAUUAAGUUCCCCGCCUGGGGAGUACGGCCGCAAGGCUAAAACUCAAAGGAAUUGACGGGGGCCCGCACAAGCGGCGGAGCAUGCGGAUUAAUUCGAUGCAACGCGAAGAACCUUACCAAGGCUUGACAUAUACCGGAAAAGUGCAAAAAUGUCUCCCCGCAAGGUCGGUAUACAGGUGGUGCAUGGUUGUCGUCAGCUCGUGUCGUGAGAUGUUGGGUUAAGUCCCGCAACGAGCGCAACCCUCGUUCUAUGUUGCCAGCACGUAAUGGUGGGAACUCAUAGGAGACUGCCGGGGUCAACUCGGA